rnacentral:tRNA from 1 species
AGAUGAGUAGCAUAGCGGCCUAAUGCACUACCUGUACCUCUAGAGGAGGUACGGAGACAAGACAGGAGUUCGAAUCUCCUCUCAUCUU